GGAAAGAACAUUGCUUGUUUGGCUGAGUUCUAGUCCUGAAUCUGUUUGCUGCGACAGUCACUGUUAAAUCACUACCAGAUUAUCUUCACUAUUUAAGGAAAAGCUAAAAUCCACUUGUUUUAUCUCAGGGUAAUUAGUCUGAGGGCUGUGAGGUUGAACUCAGUAUGUUCAGCUUGUAAAAGUAGUGUCCUUUUCCAAAUUUUCUCUUCUUUAUGUUGAAGCUGUUACUGUUUGUAGCCAAAAAUUACUUGUUCUCCACCCCCAUUUCAGCACUGUUAUAUCUAUGCUCCUCAACCAUAACUAGCUGAAAUAACUCUAAUCACCUAUUUUUACUGUUUGAGUUAGGGAGGGUUCACAGGACUCAUUUUGCCAGAAGAGCUGAAAUGCUUGCAGAAAGGGAAAAGGGAAAGGGAUACAAAUUCAGAGCUGCAAAAUAGCAGCUGAACACGAUAAUAUCAUCAGCUGGCAGAGGUGGCUGCACUCUGAGCAUCUGUCUAUAGCCUAAAAUGACUGUUUUGUUCAGGGAUUUGUUUGCUUGUUGGUUGGAGUUUUGGUUUGUUAUACUGCAGGAUCACUCCUAACUGCUAAAACAAUUAAGAAAGAAACUUCAGAAAAAGAACACUAAGUCCUAUGGUUUUUAAUUCCCUACUGGGUUUUGGGAAGAAGUAGUUUGUGGCAAACAAGGAAGACAAACCUGGAUCUUUUGCUGCAUCCUUCCUCCUGUUUAAGAAGAUUUGUGAUUCUACAUCUAAAUCCAACAACUUUCCAUGUGGCCCUGCUUGUGUCUACAGAAAUGCCAGAAUCUGCUGCUGCAGACAUGCUGAAAGCAAGCUGAAAGCACCAUGAGCAGAAGAAGGUAUGGGAGCAAAUCCAGUAGAGGAAACAGUUGUUGGAAGAAAGCAAAAGCAGAGAUAAUGCCUCUUGCACAGUAAGUUUUAAAUUGAAAUUUGCUGAAGACUGACAGUGUUUUGGGGAGCUAUUACUCAUGCUUAUACUAUCUUACACUCUUUGUUAAGCUUUUAUUCUUGGUCACCAUCAGAAACACUCUACUGCACUCCAAAUGCCUUUAGUCUGAUUCUUUCUGGCUUUUCAUAUCAUAACGAAUAGUUUUUUACUGAAUCUCCCCCUGCCUCAGUGCAUUACUCUUGCAGAAGUUUAACUAGCGUGGCAGUCAGUAUUCCAGGUGAGUUUUCAGGGAGUCCAGUACUGGGCUAUUAAAUUCUUCACUCUUCCCCCAUGAAAACACCUUCCCUGACACAACACAGGCUUAUGUUUGACUCAUGAUUUCCCUGACCAGCUGCCAUGCCUGUGUCCUCCUUCUCCCAUUAAGUGCUGUCCCAAACCAUUGCAGAAUGGCCAAAACCAGGUGAGUCUGCAUUUUGAACAGCUGAACUUCAUCCAACUGCUGCUUCUCCAGCACUUGUGAUCAUUUUGAUUUCCCUGUGUGAUAUUUCCACCUGUUUUGAACUGAUCACACC
rnacentral:lncRNA from 1 species